rnacentral:rRNA from 1 species
UACGGAGGGUGCGAGCGUUGUCCGGAAUCACUGGGCGUAAAGAGCUCGUAGGCGGUUUGUCGCGUCGGCUGUGAAAACUCGGGGCUCAACCCCGAGCCUGCAGUCGAUACGGGCAGACUAGAGUGCUGUAGGGGAGACUGGAAUUCCUGGUGUAGCGGUGAAAUGCGCAGAUAUCAGGAGGAACACCGGUGGCGAAGGCGGGUCUCUGGGCAGUAACUGACGCUGAGGAGCGAAAGCGUGGGGAGCGAACAGG